GUCGACCACAUGGGAGUCCAGCGACAUAGCCAUUACGAUUCUGCUCAUCUGCAGGUCUAGAACUAUCCACUCAGGGAAGAGCAGAGCGAGUACGACCACCUGAGAAGUCAGGCAGAGUCUCCAGAAGGGACAAAACUUGAACAAACUCUACGAGGACACUUUGAAGUCCACUGAUGAGACAAGCAAGGAAGAGAACACCAGCUACCCAAAGAACAGCCAUGUGUACCAAGGCAAAUGUCUGGCAAUGACUCCAGACCUGAAAUAUUGGCGUUCUCCGCAGCACUUGGAUGAGAAAAAAACAACUGUAUCUCAAAAUACAAGAUCAGAGUACUGUAUUUCAACAAGAUAUUGAAAACCAAGUAACCAAAAAAACAGCCUUCUAAAAUGGUGACACAGAUUUAAAAUGUACUAACCUUUCUGCCUGUAAAUCAUUACUAUGGAAGGAAAGCUAAUUAUGAAUCACACACUUCCCUAAUGGACCAAUAUUAUGUCAGUGGGACAGAUUUUAGGAAAAUUUCAGCAGAACCAGUUCAUUCUUUGAAGCAUUAGGUCAAUUACAACAUACCAACCCUCAGCCUGAAUAGCUGCAUAUUUAGAAAGAACAAAAGCAUGCUUUGAGAGUCUCUGUACGUGGUCUAUUAAAGAGCUUAUUUGGUAGGAAAUAAAUCAAAAGAAGGAAAUAUAGUGAAUAUCUCAGGGUACUUUCUAAAACACCUUUCAUAAUAAUCUUGACAUCUUCUCCAAUUCACUCUGGAAAAUGUUCCAUAUAACCAGAAAAGUAAGUGAAAACAACACCAACAGGUUCUGUCAGGAAGCAGAGGUCUGUCACCUUCCCUAUCCUCUGACCUGUCCUCUGUCUCCCUACAGUUCAUCCUAUAACCAACCUGUCCCCGUGCUACAAAUGACAGGAUUUUCAAGCUAACCCAAUGCCCUCUCACAAACCUUUCUGUGCAUUACUCCAUUACCAAAAUCACCCAUUCCUCAUUGGAAAGUGGGAGUGCAGAGGGAAGAUGGCACCCUACACGUGCAAACCUACAAGGGUCAAGAGUGGUAAAAGAGCAACCCCCAAUCCUAGCCGAGCAACACAAGAGCAGAUACGGUGCCACCCUUCUCCUGCCAAAGAGGCCAGAGUCAAAUGGGUUCUUCUUCCUUCAGCCCCAGAAAGUGCCCUGAGCCCUCUCAAAAUCAUAGCAUGUGGGUGGGUAUUGCCACCAUUAACAAAAAAGAAAAACAACCCACAGCUCACUUUUUUUUUUUUAACCAGGAAUCUCAAUAAGGAACUGUAGAAAACAGGAAUGAUAACAUUCAUUAAUUUGAAUUUAACUCUUAAGCACUCACCUUAUAAGUGGUACUUCUCUGAGUUCUGGACCACCAACAAGGUCUUGAUUUUUGGAGCUCACAGGGAGGGGAGAGGGGAGAAGAAGCAAUCACGCUAAGGAGAUAGGUUCAGAAAAACCCUAACAGCCACACAGGAGAAACAGGGAGCCAUGGCGAAGGGUGGGACCACUGCUUUAUGGUGACUGAGGCAGAGCUCCAUGAAGAGGAUAAACCCCAAGUGACAAGAACAAGGCUGUCAUGUUCCAAAGAAGGAGAACAGCAAGUGCAGAAGACCUAAGGCCAAGAGCAAUCACAGGAAAAUCCUAAACUACUGGCCAUGCCACCUUGGAUUGGACAGAGACCAUCAAAGAGGUUAACCCUUCACUUGAAGGAUAAAGAAAUUUGCUGGGAUUACAUACAGCUGGACCAAGACCGCACAAGGGGAGAAGAGGGCUGCAACAGCCAGGACAGUCACCAGGGAGCAGCCUGGCCCCCUCCCCAGCCCCUUGCUUCUGACACAGGCUGUUCCUCUCUCACGAGGGCAGAGGACUCUGCUUCCUAGCCUCUGCCUACCUCAGUGGACCCCAAGACUAUAGGAGUCUCCCAGUCCAUCCUCAAAAGCUAAAUCAGGCCGACUCUAAGCUAGCUUAGGAGGUAAAGGUCUCUGAUCACAGAGGCUUCCAAGUCCCUGCACCUCACAGGGACAGGUUCCCCUGGCUUUGGCAUCUCUGUUCAUGCCUCUGAAGCUAACUGCUUAUCUCCAGCAGCCUUUGUGGCUGGGCUGACACAGGUCACCAGAGGACCCCUGUGGUUCCUAUGCACUGGACCAGCAGAGAGGGUUGUGCUCAGUGUCAACAAUCCCCGCAGGUCCCACAGCCCUGCAAGACUGACCAACCCAGACGCCUGUCUGCCACUAGAGUUAGUGAGACUGACCCUCUCCAAGGACAAGCCAAGGGUCAUCUUGAAAACAGAGCAGAAGGGACCACACACUCCCUGCAGCCAUCACCCUUUCGUAUAACACACAGGUCAGGGGUUUUCCGAUGAUACCUGCUCAAGCAGGAAGAUGACAGGUUUUCACCAGUCAUUACUUUGAAAAAGCUCAGCAAAUGCUUACAUCCCCCUGUCCCCAUCUUGUCCCUGUGCUCCUCGGCAGGGGGUAUAUCUUAUGGAAUACGGACUUCAACUCUGUUAGUGAUUGUGUAUUACUUUAUCAUCCAACCUGAGAGGUUCUUUGGAGGGGAAGAGGGAGCUAUAAUAGUCCCAAUGGGACACAGAAUGUAAAUCAGAAUUGUCCUGCCC